rnacentral:rRNA from 1 species
CAGUCGCCACGGUAAUACGGAGGGGGCUAGCGUUGUUCGGAAUUACUGGGCGUAAAGCGCACGUAGGCGGUUAUUCAAGUCAGAGGUGAAAGCCCGGGGCUCAACCCCGGAACUGCCUUUGAAACUAGAUGACUAGAAUCUUGGAGAGGCGAGUGGAAUUCCGAGUGUAGAGGUGAAAUUCGUAGAUAUUCGGAAGAACACCAGUGGCGAAGGCGACUCGCUGGACAAGUAUUGACGCUGAGGUGCGAAAGCGUGGGGAGCAAACAGGAUUAGAUACCCCCGUAGUCCCUGUCUCUUAUAA